GUCGUCUUUAAAUGCUGCCAUCAAAAUAUUGUGUUGAUCAGAACUGGUUAAGUCAUGUUCUAUUAUACAAGUAAAGAGAAUCAUGACUACAAACAUGACACAUUCAUUGAGUCUGGAAAACAAAAUUUCAAGAUUUAGCCGUAUAUACACUAGAGGAGGCAGGUCCAGCAUGGGUGCGGGUGGAUGGCAUAAAUCCCCAGAAGGUGCUUUUUUUAUCAUGCGUGAUACUAGCCAACUUUGUUUCUUUUUGAACAGUCUCCUCCACUAAAUAUCCAAAUCCCCAGGCUUCUUUAGUACAGAGUGAUAUUGAAAUGCCUUCAGCUAUUAAAGCAUAGCAUGAGUGAUUAAAGAAACACUCCAAGCACUAUAACCACUACAGCUCACUGUAGUAGUUACAGCACAAUGGGUGCCCUGGAAACUUCUGAGUAGUUAAACUAUUUAAGAAUGGUUUGGCUUCUUACCUGGUGUACAUCGGACACAAAUCUCCUCCUCGACUUCUUCCUAGAGAAAGACAUAAGUUCCUGCUGAUCGAUCUCAGCCUUGCACCCCUGGGUUCUCUGUUAGAAGAAGUGAAGAGUGGCAGCCAGCAGUCCUCAGUAAAAAGUGAACUACUUUACAAUUGGAUGAUUAGUUAGAAUUGGGGGGGAGGGGGGGCUGCUAGGGCACUCCUGUCACCAUAACCACUAUGGUUAUCAUGCUUGGAAU